CGCCAAAGGCAGUCAACGAGUCAUCUCCUGCUCUCAGACAAACCAGACAGAUUACUUUAAGGAAUACUCCAGUCAAGUUUCUAAAACCUACCGGUAUCAGGUUCAAAAAACCCUGCAGAAUGAAUAUAGGAGGAUUUCGGUGAAUGACCUGCGCAUCAUCCUGCCAUUCUACAACUUCCACUAUGCUCCAGCCAAGAAGUUUAUCCAGGAGAACAUUCUUGCCAAGCUUCCAGAUGUGAAACAACUGGUACGCACUGGCGGUGCAGUGCACGACCCUGCAAAGCCAAGGUGCAAGAAACCACCAGCGGCGUGUUUAAGCCUGCAGCCAUCAGUCACACCCAGUUCAUUCCCAGCCAGGUCAGGCACAACCACCCACAGAUCACCAACAAAUGCCCUGUAUUGGCGAUGCAGGGAAGAAAAGAAACAUUAUUGCAAAGCCAGGGUUGUAGAGGAUCCAAAGGGAGUGUUUCGUCGCCUGGGCGGUGAACACAACCACCCACCCCAAGUACGUACUUACUUGCAAAUUUUAAAAUAUAACGUUACACUAACAGAUGAAGAAGUAUUAUAUUUCACGAAUUGUGCUUCAUAAAUUGUUUACAAAGGCAAACGAC